GCGCGAAAACUUCACACUGCAGGAAACUGUGAUGAGGGAACUCCAAGUGGAUGGUAUUGGAAUAAGGGCUGGGAAAGACCGGUGCCAGCCGCCGCGGUAAUACCGGCAGCUCGAGUGGUCGUCGCUUUUAUUGGGCCUAAAACGUCCGUAGCCGGUUUGGUAAAUCUGUGGGUAAAUCAACUAGCUUAACUAGUUGAAUUCUGCAGAGACUGCCAGACUAGGAACCGGGAGAGGUGUGGGGUACUCAAGGGGUAGGGGUAAAAUCCUGUCAUCCUUUGAGGACCACCAGUUGCGAAGGCGCCACACUGGAACGGAUUCGACGGUCAGGGACGAAGCCUAGGGGCACGAACCGGAUUAGACACCCGGGUAGUCCUAGGUGUAAACGCUGUGAACUUGGUGUCGGGAGUCCGCAAUGGGCCCCCGGUGCCGGAGUGAAGAUGUUAAGUUCACUGCCUGGGGAGUACGGUCGCAAGGCUGAAACUUAAAGGAAUUGGCGGGGGAGCACGCAACGCGAGGAGCGUGCGGUUUAAUUGGAUUCAACGCCGGAAAACUCACCAUGGCCGACUGUUAGAUGAAGACCAGCGUAAUGAGCUUGUCGGAUUUUCAGAGAGGAAGUGCAUGGCC
rnacentral:rRNA from 1 species